rnacentral:rRNA from 1 species
AAAGCGUGCGCAGGCGGUUAUGUAAGACAGAUGUGAAAUCCCCGGGCUCAACCUGGGAACUGCAUUAGUGACUGCAUAGCUGGAGUACGGCAGAGGGGGAUGGAAUUCCGCGUGUAGCAGUGAAAUGCGUAGAUAUGCGGAGGAACACCGAUGGCGAAGGCAAUCCCCUGGGCCUGUACUGACGCUCAUGCACGAAGGUGCGGGGAUCAAACAGGAUUAGAUACCCUAGU